UCCUAAGCUGAACAUCUAGGCCCUUUCACUGUUCGAGUUGUAACUUGAAGAAGGUAUCUUUGGAGUUGGCCCCCGUCUAUGUUCCUUGGAACAGGACGUCACAGAGGGUGAGAAUCCCGUGCGAUGGGGAGACCAAUUCUAUGUAAAGUUCCUUCGAAGAGUCGAGUUGUUUGGGAAUGCAGCUCUAAGUGGGUGGUAAAUUCCAUCUAAAGCUAAAUAUUGGCGAGAGACCGAUAGCGAACAAGUACAGUGAUGGAAAGAUGAAAAGAACUUUGAAAAGAGAGUGAAAAAGUACGUGAAAUUGUUGAAAGGGAAGGGCUUUUGAUCAGACUUGGUGUUUAGUACUCUCUACUCCUUGUGGGUGGGGCUCUUGCUUUAUACUGGGCCAGCAUCGGUUUGGAUGGUAGGAUAAUAGCAUUGGAAUGUGGCUUCAUUCGUGAAGUGUUAUAGCCCUUGUUGAUACUACCUAUCUAGACCGAGGACUGCGUCUUUUGACUAGGAUGCUGGCGUAAUGAUUAAAAGCC
rnacentral:rRNA from 1 species